rnacentral:lncRNA from 1 species
AUAUAUAUAUAUAUAUAUAUAUAUAUAUAUAUACACGAAAAACGNUAGAGAGCGCACGUGCGCACUCUCCUUAAAGUGCGCAUGUUGCUCCGUUCGUCACCGUCCGGCGCGCCUCCUCCUCAAAAGACUCCAGCAGCGUCCCCGACCACUUUCCCUCUCCAGCGAGUCCGUUCUUUUCCAGUUUUUCAGCGAGAUUACCUAAAACUUCAAAUAAAGUCGAUCUCACCGGAAACUGGAAUUCGGCGGACUGGCCGGGGAGGAAAAGUGAUCGGGGACGCUGCUAGAGUCCCCUGGAUGGAGACGCGCCGUCAUCAAAGCCGUACGGUGGCGAACGGAGGGGCGUGCGCACUGACUUAAAGUGCGGACGCCGGCUCAAAUCAACUCCGGCAACUACAUAUGGCAGCUCUUCUUCCUCCUUAAACGCCAUUGGCGUCCUGGUUGCCAUUACCAUCAAGUUAAAUGCCAAGGUGAUCGUAGAAGAAGGUCCGGCACCGGAAAAACUACAGAAACUUAAAGAAGCUCAAUCCCGGAUUCAAAACUCAUCACCGGCGAGUCUGUCGGUGAGAAGAAGCUCCAAAUGGAGCUCUUGUUUGGAACCAGCAAGAACAACGAAGCAAUCGGUGUCGCCGGAGUUGAUUUGAGCCAGCGUCCACAUUUUAACACAAUUGCGGACGUCUGUUUCAUAUUAUUUCCGUGUUUGUGUCUAUAUAUAUAUAUAUAUACAUGAAUUCUCAUGUGCGGACGUCCGCACCAAAGUUUUGGUUCGGAUUUCCAUUUUUGCACCAGUUCCCGAUCGAAUUUCCUCAAACUUCCUUCUAGACAUAUCUAGAUCAUCUCUGUAAAAUUUCAGUCAAUUUGGUGAUCGUUAAGGCCCUCAAAAUCGCAAAACAAAUCUGACGGAUUGAAUUCUGUCCGGUUCAGGUAUAUAACAGAAAAACGCAAGUUUUAUGGCUUUAACUAUCACCAAAUUGGCUGAAAUUUUGCAGAGAUGAUCUACACAAGAUGAUCUAAAUAUGUCUAGAAGGAAGUUUGAGAAAAUUCGAUCGAGAAGUGGUGCAAAAAAUGGAANN